ACCCUUAGAUAUUUGUGUGCUCUACUUUGAUGUAUUCGAUGAGUUUAUAGCCUUGGACUGCAGGACCGAGUAGUCUUUGAAAUUUCAUCGUGAUGGGGAUUGAUUAUUGCAAUUUUUGGUCUUCAUUGAGUAAUUCCUAAUAAGCGUGAGUCAACAUCUUGUGUUGACUACAUCCCU
rnacentral:ncRNA from 1 species